UAUUUAACUUGCAACCAAGUUUGUCGACUAUUCCCAGUUUUGUUGCAAAUAGAUACAUAUACACAUUUUUUAACACGAAAUCCGAAAAAGCACAACUUUAUGAACAAUCCAAGUAACCCAGGGUACAAAUUUUGGUAAUAAUUUGUGCUGAAUUUCACCUUAUUUUUCUAGGGAAAGCCUGUUGAUUUACUGCAUUCUACAAGUCAUCUUUCUCGCUUUGUUUAUUGUACUCAAUGGUGUUUUUAAAUCCACGGACGAAACCCCUUCGGGCAACGAUAAUCCUCCCCUAGAAGAACCACUCCCCCCGAAACAAACCCGACAUCCGGCUGACUCACCGCUGCCACAAAAUGUUCAACACGAAGAACGCCCUCGUUCAAGUUAUCGAGCUGUCGAAACCAUUUAAAGACAUGAAAUUUGGAGUAAACUGGUCCUACUCGGACCACAUUGUUGGACAUGGAUUAGUCGUAUCUGGAAUUACGGUAGGCAGCAAUGCCGAUCUGGAUGGACGGCUGCAACGAGGCGACAAAAUUAUUCUCGCUAAUUCCCUAAAUCUCGCAAAAAUGUCGGGAAAAGCGGGAAGUGCGGCACUUAUGAAGGAGUUGCAGACAACCUUGCACGUGCGCUUGGUCGUGGCGCGGUCGAUUCGAAAUGAUGCGUACAUCCUACCCAGCAAUGUGGUGGCAGAGGGGGAAGAUCUAGACAAGUACUUGGUUGACGAGAGAAAGGUAAAUUUUGGGGGAGAGGUAGAAUAAGAAGUAAUUCGACUUGUUUUUUAAAAUGGUGCCAAAUAAUGUAGUUGUAAAAAUAUGUUUAUUUGUGCUACUGAGAUUGUACGACAUUAUUAUGAAGCUAACAUUUCUUACAUUUCUUCUUGCUACGUAUUUUGAAUGAAAAGAAGUUCUACCAUUUUUAUAACGAAAUGGUAGUCUCAGAAAUAAAUGAAUUAACGAUUAUGAAACGGCGA